rnacentral:tRNA from 2 species
CGCACUAUAGUUUAUACAAAACAUUGACCUGCAAAAUCAAGAAAGGAAAUAAACAUCCUGGUGUGU